AUGCUGCCGGUGCUCGAGUGCGAUGAUGUAACCGAUAAGGAGGGAGGGAGGCAUUAUUGGGUCUUCAAUGUCAACUUGAGGGACGGACGCUUCAAAGUUCUUGACUCAAACAGGACGCUGGACAACAUUGAGCUGAUGACCACCGCCUCUACCAUCGCGUGGGCAGUACGCCAGCUAUGGAGGAAGCAUUACCCAAAGUUCAGCAUCGAGCACUUCCAGAUUAUUGACAUUGACGUACAUAAGCAACUCGGCAAUAAUGAGUGUGGGCUGUUCGCACUGCUUAACGCCACUGAGUGGAACGAUAGCCAACUGCCCAACUACGAACCCAAGGAAGUACUCAACAUUAGGAAGAAGCUGGCAUAUGAUUGGGUCAUCAGCGUGCACAACACCGCCCCAUGGAGGAAGUUGCUGAGAUACGACAAGGACUAG
rnacentral:rRNA from 1 species